rnacentral:lncRNA from 10 species
UUCAGGAUUCUCAGUCUUCCCUCCGGGAGGCUUUUGGCCAGUCUUGUCUCGCUCCAACCUCCUACCCCCACCCCAUUCCUCAGUGCAUUCGUGAAUUUCUCCAAGCAGGCCUUUCCAGAUCGACACUAAGUUCCAAUCCCGAGCUGUGUGACCCAGCACCAAUUCAGUCACGAUGAUGACUUGCAAUUGCUUAAUCAGUUGGCCUUUCCUCCUAGCUGUGAAGGUUACCGUGCAGGAUUGCAAACACCAGAGAGAAAAUCAGUCUCUGGAAUGAUGCCUUUGAUGGACCAAGAUGCAGCUGAUGAAGCAUUGAACCAAUUAGCACCUAGCAGGAGGGCACCCUUGCUCUGUGUCCUUGAAGGUUAAAGCUGUCAAAAAGUGGUCUCCCUCAAGUUCGGCCAUCUUGCUCUCAGAGAUCUAGAACUGGUAGGAGAAUAUAGCCUUGAUAGUGGAGAGGAAACUAUUGCUGUUGUGAGGGACUGAGAGAACCAGGCAGAGAGCCCAGAUUGACACAGCAGGUGACAAAAGAGGCGCGCCUACCUUGGGGAAUACGGAGGAACAGAGGAAAGUGAGACCAGGAGAAAGAGCAGGGGGGCGGGUGUGCAGGCCGGGCGCCGUGGCUCACGCCUGUAAUCCCAGCACUUUGGGAGGCCAAGGCAGGCGGAUCACAAGGUCAGGAGUUCGAGACCAGCCUGGCCAAUAUGGUGAAACCCUGUCUCUACUAAAAAUACAAAAAUUAGCUGGGCGUGGUGGCGAAUGCCUGUAGUCCCAGCUACUCGGAAGGCUGAGGCAGGAGAAUCGCUUGAACCCGGAACCCGGGAGGCAGAGGUUGCAGUGAGCCGAGAUGGCGCCAUUGCACUCUAGCCUGGGCGACGGACUGAGACUUCGUCUCAAAAAAGGGAGUGACUGUGUUGCUUUUGCUUUCUUGGAAAUCUUUUUUCUUAGUAAUUUUCCUAAAGUAAUUUCCUUAGGAAAUAAUGUAUUGCUAAGAGUAUUGCAACUUUUAGUAUUGACGAGGUACUUUUACUGAAU